rnacentral:rRNA from 1 species
CAUCCAGACUCCUACGGGAGGCAGCAGUGGGGAAUAUUGCACAAUGGGGGAAACCCUGAUGCAGCGACGCCGCGUGAGUGAAGAAGUAUUUCGGUAUGUAAAGCUCUAUCAGCAGGGAAGAUAAUGACGGUACCUGACUAAGAAGCCCCGACUAACUACGUGCCAGCAGCCGCGGUAAUACGUAGGGGGCAAGCGUUAUCCGGAUUUACUGGGUGUAAAGGGAGCGUAGGCGGCCUGCCAAGUCUGAUGUGAAAUACCGGGGCUCAACCCCGGGGCUGCAUUGGAAACUGGCAGGCUGGAGUGCCGGAGAGGCAGGCGGAAUUCCUAGUGUAGCGGUGAAAUGCGUAGAUAUUAGGAGGAACACCAGUGGCGAAGGCGGCCUGCUGGACGGUGACUGACGCUGAGGCUCGAAAGCGUGGGGAGCAAACAGGAUUAGAUACCCCUGUA